UGCCAGCCGCCGCGGUAAUACGAAGGGUGCUAGCGUUGUUCGGAAUUACUGGGCGUAAAGCGCACGUAGGCGGACUUUUAAGUCAGAUGUGAAAUCCCGGGGCUCAACCCCGGAAGUGCAUUGGAAACUGGCGAACUUGAGUACGGGAGAGGAAAGUGGAAUUCCGAGUGUAGGGGUGAAAUCCGUAGAUAUUCGGAGGAACACCAGUGGCGAAGGCGGCUUUCUGGACCGAUACUGACGCUGAGACGCGAAAGCGUGGGGAGCAAACAGGAUUAGAUA
rnacentral:rRNA from 1 species